rnacentral:rRNA from 1 species
AAUUCGAUCAUGGCUCAGAUUGAACGCUGGCGGGAUGCUUUACACAUGCAAGUCGAACGGCAGCACGGACUUCGGUCUGGUGGCGAGUGGCGAACAGGUGAGUAAUAUGUCGGAACGAUGCCUAGUAGCGGGGAUAACUACGCGAAGCGUAGCUAAUACCGCAUACGCCCUUCGGGGAAAGCGGGGGGACCUUCGGGCCUCGCACUAUUAGAGCGGCCGAUAUCAGUUAGCUAGUUGGUGGGGUAACGGCUCACCAAGGCGACGAUCCGUAGCUGGUUUGAAGAGGACGACCAGCCACACUGGGACUGAGACACGGCCCAGACUCCACAGGAGGCAGCAGUGGGGGUACGGACAAUGGAAACCCUGAUCCAGCCAUCCCGCGUGUGCGAUGAAGGCCUUCGAGUUUGUAAAGCACUUUUUGGCAGGAAAGAAACGGCACGGGAUAAUACCCCGUGCAACUGACCGAUGCAGAAUAGCUUCGGCUAACUGCAAGUGCAGCAGCCGCGGUAAUACGUAAGGGUGCAAGCGUUAAUCGGAAUUACUGGGCGUAAAGCGUGCGCGGGCGGUUCGGAAAGAAGAUGUGAAAUCCAGAGCACUUUGGAACUGCAUUUUUAACUACCGAGCUAGAGUGUGUCAGAGGAGGUGUUUGGAAUUCCACAUUAGCAGUGAAAUGCGUAGAUAUGCGGAGGAACACCGAUGGCGAAGGCAGCCUCUGGGAUGCUGCAACAAAGAAAAGCGUGGGGGAGCAAACAGGAUUAGAUACCCUGAUAAGUCCACGCCUAAACGAUGUCAACUAGCUGUUGGGGCCUUCCGGGCCUUGGUAAGCGCAGCUAACGCGUGAAGUUGACCGCCGAGAGAUACGGUCCAGCAAGAUUAAACUCAAAGGAAUUGACGGGGACCACACAAGCGGUGGAUGAUGUGGAUUAAUUCGAUGCAACGCGAAAAACCUUACCUACCCUUGACAUGUCUGGAAUCCCGAAGAGAUUUGGGAGUGCUCGCAAGAGAACCGGAACACAGGUGCUGCAUGGCUGUCGUCAGCUCGUGUCGUGAGAUGUUGGGUUAAGUCCCGCAACAGGCACAGCCGCCUUGUCAUUAGUUGCCGAAGGGCACUCUAUUAAGUUGCCGGUGACAAACCGGAGGGAAGGUGGGGAUGACGUCAAGUCCUCUGGCCCUUAUGGGUAGGGCUUCACACGUCAUACAAUGGUCGGGACAGAGGUCGCCAACCCGGGAGGCCAAUCCCAGAAACCCGAUCGUAGUCCGGAUCGCAGUCUGCAACUCGACUGCGUGAAGUCGGAAUCGCUAGUAAUCGCGGAUCAGCAUGUCGCGGUGAAUACGUUCCCGGGUCUUGGCACACACCGCCCGUCACACCAUGGGAGUGGGGUUUGCAAGUAGUUAAUACAACCGUAAGGAGGCGAUUACCACGGUAGGAUUCAUGACUGGGGUGAAGUCGUAACAAAGGUAA